UACGUAUGGUGCAAGCGUUAUCCGGAUUUACUGGGCGUAAAGGGAGCGCAGGCGGCGCGCCAAGUCUGAUGUGAAACCCCGGGGCUCAACCCCGGGCAUGCAUUGGAAACUGGCGGGCUGGAGUGCCGGAGAGGUAAGCGGAAUUCCUAGUGUAGCGGUGAAAUGCGUAGAUAUUAGGAGGAACACCGGUGGCGAAAGCGGCUCUCUGGCCUGUAACUGACGCUGAGGCUCGAAAGCAUGGGUAGCGAACAGG
rnacentral:rRNA from 1 species